AUUACUUGUUUUGCAGUAUUCUAUAGCUAUGACAGCAUAGUGGUUAGGACUUCCGCCUCAUAAUCGGAGAUCGGGGGUUCGAUCCGGGCAUGCACCUCUAACUUUUCGGAGUUACGUGCGUUUUAAGCAACUAAAUAUUACUUGCUUUAACGGUGAAGGAAAACAUCGUGAGGAAACCUGCAUGCCUGAGAGUUCU